AAGUGGGACUCUGAGACAUGGAAUGGGGACAUAUAUGUAGACACUGAGAAGUGUCCCACUCUCUUUGUUGAAAGGUGGAAGUGGCCCCUUCUACUUGUUCAAAGACUAUGCAGAGGCCUUAAAUGAAUCAGGUGCACUAUAAGAAAAUGCUUGCCUUCCCCAGGAUUUGCAACCACUUGGACACUAGACUCAUUAAUAGGGCAAGAGUUCAGCAUAACCAGAAUAACUCUACUGGAGAUCUGGUCCUGCUGAAGAGAGGGAUCAUAUAUCAAAGGAAAUGCAGGACGUGAUUCAUGUGUGCAAGUAGGAGAGUGUGGAAGUGAAUCAUCCGCAUGCCGGAUCAAGGACAGUCAAAUAAAAGCUGGAGAAAGAAGAGAUUAUCAAUAUGAGAUCCCUUUUCUGUGACACAAGAUUAAACACCAUGGCAAUGGCUCUGAGUGACAGGUUUAGUAAGCUGCUAGGAAGGUUCCUGGAAGCAUGAAAAAAGUGAUGAUGCAUAUUAAACAAAGUGAAGAUGCUAUAACUUCCAUGGAAGUCUAUAGAGAAAAUAUUUCAAGGACCCAGGGGAUUUGGCAUGCCAGAAUGUAUUUACUGUAUAAAACUGGGAAACCCACUAAUGUGUACAUUCCUUGGGAGGGCUUAGAGGACACUUUAUCAAAGCAGUAGGAAUGAGCUGGUGAGGAAGGUGUCAGUAUUGUUGAGAAGCCCAGUGGUGCUGUCCUUUAUGGGCAGGGUUGACAGUAGGAGAUGCUGUAAUUGUGCCUCCCAGGAGCAAUGUGGAUGAUAGGAUUUUAGAAUAGCAGAGGCCAACAGACAGCACUUAACCAAUGGAAAUUAGAAGGGCAUAAUUAGCAUAAUGCAAAGCAACUUGGGAUGACAGUCAGGGGAACCUGAUCCACAGGGAUUUACGGUGAUGGCUAAUAGAACAUGAUGUCCAUAAGAAUGGGAAAGAUGGGAACUCAGUGACAAUAUUAUUAAUAUACAUACCCUAAGAAAUCAAGAACAGACAAGCAGAAAACAAGAAGCUGACCCAACAGGAAGUCUCCUGAUCUUGCCCAGUUUCCAGACCGAAGUCAUUUCUCAGUUACAGCAUCUACAGACAGAGAGUCCAGAGCCCCAUGAAGAAAGACUCUACCACAGUGUGUACGGUAAUUCUCCCUCCGACCUUCCUUAAAGGGACCUCCAGAAAUUACUCAGGCUGCCAUAUGCUCACUGGAAGGAUCACAUUGAGGACCCUGAAGAGCCUGAAGAGGAAUUGCAUACCUUCUAUUAUUGCUGUUCGCUGUGGAUUGAAGUGCGUCUCUCCAAAAUCCAUAUGUUGAAGCACUAACCCCCGAUGUGACUGUAUUUGGAGAUCAGCCCUUUAAGAUGGUAAGUAAGUUUAAAUAAGAUCACAAGAGUGGAGCCUUAAUCCAAAAGGACUGGUGUCUUUUUUUUUUUUUUUUUGGUAGGUUUUGCCAUGUUGCCCAGGCUGGUCUCAAACUCCUGGCCCCAAGGGAUCCAUCCACCUUGUGUAAGACUGGAGCUGACAUCCAUCCAUCAGUCUUGUGUAAGACUGGAGCUGACAUUCACACCGUAGGCUGGGCCUCCCAGUUAUGACUGCUUUGCUGUCUCACUUACUGCAUGUUAUCCCAUCCUUCUGGAUGUGUGGCAAUCCUCGCCACGUGGCAAGGGCACAGCUGGCUAAACUGGCAGCUAUGCUUUGGAGCUCAUGACAGAUGUCUAUCGAGAGUAAAGAUGAGGAGAUUUAUUAGAAAACUAUCAAGAUUUUGGAGUGUGUUGGUCACUUUUGGAAGCCUUGAAAGGUCUUGCCUGACUCUCCCUCCCCAGGGUCAGAAGCAGAGCCCUAGAGAAAAGCCAGUGAGCCUAAGGGGGGCGGGUGUUAAUGGUAGAAACCCUCACAUCUGUGCCAGGCUCAGGUUCAGAGACCAACACACAAAAUGCUAUAGGCUUCUUAUACCUUCCCUAGAAAUUAAAGCCAAAAUGUCUAGCAACCCAAUCGGGUUUCAAGGAAGCUGAAGAACCUUGUAUUAGUAUGUUCUCACACUGCUAAUAAAGACAUACCUGAGACUGGGUAAUUUAUAAAGGAAAGAGGUUUGAUGGACUCACAGUUCCACAUGGCUGGGGAGGCCUCACAGUCAUGGCGGAAGGUGAAAGGCAUGCCUUACAUGGUGGCAGCAGGCAAAGAGAGAAUGAGAGCCAAGUACAAAGGGAAAGCCCUUAUAAAACCAUCAGAUCUCGUGAGACCUAUUCACUAACACGAGAACAGUAUGAGGGAAACCACCCCCAUGAUUUAAUUAUCUCCCACCAGGUCCCUCUCACAAUACAUGGGAAUUAAGGAAGCUACAAUUCAAGAUGAGAUUUGGAUGGGGACACAGCCAAACCAUAUCAAACAUUUACUAGGCCUGAGAAAAAGUGGCUUAUAUUUGCUGACUCCCUCAGGUGGGUCCUGAUCACGCAAGGUACCAACAACAGAGAAUGGGCUACCAAGCCUGAGCAAGCUUCAAAAGAGAAAAACCUCCUGAGUGCUGUUCUCACACAUGACCAUGGGAGGAAUAUGUAAGGCACAGACUUCUGGGGCUGCUAGAUGGGUUAACCAGGAUGCUCGUCCGCAUGCCUGGAUCGGGGACCUCCCAACUCUAUUCCUGUCUUUGACAUCAGAUCAAUGUGGGUAGAAAUUAACAAGUCUCCUUGCAAAAUAAAAUAUAUAUAUAUUUGAAAUUAAAACAUUAAAUCAUAAAUGAGUGUAAUUUAUUGAAAGAAUAGCACAAUACAAGGG
rnacentral:lncRNA from 10 species